CCGAGGUUAAUCUAAAUCUGCCUGCCUGCGAUUUUCACAAUGUAUUACUUGAGCUUUAAAUGUAAGUAAUGGCUUUUCUAUUCUAGGAGAGACCGCUGAUGAUUUUGCAGUUGUAGUCGGAGGAGAAAGAAGGGGUUGAGAGGAGGAACCAGAGUGGAACGAAGGAAGCGAAGAGGAAGUUUUUACCCUCCUGGCCUGCGCCGCGGGAGCCGUCGACCUCUCUGCCCCAGCUCACCGCUGAAUGCUAGGAUGAUUGCUGCUGGAGUUGGGGGUAAUCCAGGAAAACUUGCGGGUCUCUCUCUCAAUGGACCUAUAGGAGCUCCGCAUCCGUGAUCAGGAUGUUUCAUAUCUCACAGCGGGCGCCUAUGAAUAAGCAGAAGCAAUGAUGACAGAUGACAGCAAGUAAACUAUUCCUUUCAACUACAGUAUAACAGCACUUCCACUCUGAAAUUUUUCACAAGCUUAUAAGGCCCUUGGGCAAUAUUUGAU